AUACGAAGGGUGCAAGCGUUACUCGGAAUUACUGGGCGUAAAGCGUGCGUAGGUGGUUGUUUAAGUCUGUCGUGAAAGCCCUGGGCUCAACCUGGGAAUGGCGAUGGAAACUGGGCGACUAGAGUGUGGCAGAGGGUAGUGGAAUUCCUGGCGUAGCAGUGAAAUGCGUAGAGAUCAGGAGGAACAUCCGUGGCGAAGGCGACUGCCUGGGCCAACACUGACACUGAGGCACGAAAGCGUGGGGAGCAAACAGGAUUAGAUACCCUGGUAGUCCACGCCCUAAACGAUGCGAACUGGAUGUUGGGUGCAAUUUGGCACGCAGUAUCGAAGCUAACGCGUUAAGUUCGCCGCCUGGGGAGUACGGUCGCAAGACUGAAACUCAAAGGAAUUGACGGGG
rnacentral:rRNA from 1 species